UGUCUUUAGGCUCUUAUAUUGUAUUAGUACCAAAUAAUAACACGUGUAUGAUAUUAUUCUAGAUAUAUAUUAUAUGGGUUGUUACAAUCGCAAUAUAUUAGACCACAUUGGACCAUACGAUGUAUUACUACUAAACAACUCUACUUUUGAUUUUAAAAAAUUAUCCAAUUACAUAUCCUCUAAUCAUGUCAAAUUCUUAUACAAUUUAUCUAGAGGCCGUAUCUGGGUCUUGACCAUCAGGUUAACCAUGAUGAAUCUGCAGUUUGG
rnacentral:lncRNA from 1 species